rnacentral:rRNA from 1 species
UACGAAGGGGGCUAGCGUUGCUCGGAAUCACUGGGCGUAAAGGGCGCGUAGGCGGCGUGUUAAGUCAGCUGUGAAAUCUCCAAGCUUAACUUGGAACGGUCAGCUGAUACUGAUGUGCUAGAGUGCAGAAGGGGCAAUCGGAAUUCUUGGUGUAGCGGUGAAAUGCGUAGAUAUCAAGAGGAACACCUGAGGUGAAGACGGGUUGCUGGGCUGACACUGACGCUGAGGCGCGAAAGCUAGGGUAGCAAACGGG